AAUGAACGUUGGCGGCGUGGAUUAGGCAUGCAAGUCGAGCGAGAACCCAGCAAUGGGGGACAGCGGCGUAAGGGACAGUAAUGUGUAGAUUAUCUGCCCUCGGGACCGGGAUAGCUGCGGGAAACUGCAGGUAAUACCGGAUAACAUCUCCGGAUCAAAGGUGUGAUUCCGCCCGAGGAUGAGUCUGCAUCCUAUUAGCUAGUUGGCAGGGUAAUGGCCUACCAAGGCUUUGAUGGGUAGCGGGUGUGAGAGCACGACCCGCGUCAUUGGGACUGAGACACUGCCCAGACACCUACGGGUGGCUGCAGUCGAGAAUCUUCGGCAAUGGGCGCAAGCCUGACCGAGCGACGCCGCGUGUGGGAUGAAGGCCUUCGGGUUGUAAACCACUGUUAGAGGGGAUGAAAUGCAGGUGGGUUCUCCCAUCUGUUUGACAUAGCCUCAGAGGAAGGACGGGCUAAGUUCGUGCCAGCCGCCGCGGUAACAC
rnacentral:rRNA from 1 species